UAGCUUUGUCCUAAGUCAAAUUUCUUAAAUUUUGACAAAGUUUAUAGAAAAGUGUACUGAUAUCUACAAUAUCAAAUAAGUAUUCCAUGAAGAUAUAUAUCACGACGGAUUUAAUAAAAUUAAUACAGAGUUGUAAAUGUUGGUAGAUUUUUCUAUAAACUUGGUCAAACUAUAAAAAGUUUGAUUUAGGACAAAGCUAG
rnacentral:pre_miRNA from 1 species